rnacentral:RNase_P_RNA from 1 species
GGAGCGGAUCAGGUGAACGCCGGCGCAGACUCUUUGCGCGGGAGGAAAGUCCGGGCUCCAUAGGGCAUGGUGCUGGUCAACGGCCAGUCGGGGCGACCCGAAGGAAAGUGCCACAGAGAAUAGACCGCCGAAGGCCCUUGGAGGGCCUGGCAAGGGUGAAACGGUGCGGUAAGAGCGCACCGCGGCGACAGUGAUGCCGCCGGCACGGCAAACCCCACCUGGAGCAAGAGCAAAUAGGGGAGCGUGCGGGGGCAACCCCGCUCCAGGCUGCCCGCCUGGUGCUCCCGGGUACCUCGCUCGAGGCCUCGGGUAACCGAGGCCCUAGAUGAAUGUUCACCACCCGGAUGUUUCGGGAACAGGACCCGGCUUACGAUCCGCUCCGGUU